rnacentral:rRNA from 1 species
CUUUUACAAUGAAGAGUUUGAUCCUGGCUCAGGAUGAACGCUAGCUACAGGCUUAACACAUGCAAGUCGAGGGGCAGCAUUUCAGUUUGCUUGCAAACUGGAGAUGGCGACCGGCGCACGGGUGAGUAACACGUAUCCAACCUGCCGAUAACUCGGGGAUAGCCUUUCGAAAGAAAGAUUAAUACCCGAUGGUAUAAUCAGACCGCAUGGUCUUGUUAUUAAAGAAUUUCGGUUAUCGAUGGGGAUGCGUUCCAUUAGGCAGUUGGUGAGGUAACGGCUCACCAAACCUUCGAUGGAUAGGGGUUCUGAGAGGAAGGUCCCCCACAUUGGAACUGAGACACGGUCCAAACUCCUACGGGAGGCAGCAGUGAGGAAUAUUGGUCAAUGGGCGCAGGCCUGAACCAGCCAAGUAGCGUGAAGGAUGACUGCCCUAUGGGUUGUAAACUUCUUUUAUAUGGGAAUAAAGUUUUCCACGUGUGGAAUUUUGUAUGUACCAUAUGAAUAAGGAUCGGCUAACUCCGUGCCAGCAGCCGCGGUAAUACGGAGGAUCCGAGCGUUAUCCGGAUUUAUUGGGUUUAAAGGGAGCGUAGGUGGACAGUUAAGUCAGUUGUGAAAGUUUGCGGCUCAACCGUAAAAUUGCAGUUGAUACUGGCUGUCUUGAGUACAGUAGAGGUGGGCGGAAUUCGUGGUGUAGCGGUGAAAUGCUUAGAUAUCACGAAGAACUCCGAUUGCGAAGGCAGCUCACUGGACUGCAACUGACACUGAUGCUCGAAAGUGUGGGUAUCAAACAGGAUUAGAUACCCUGGUAGUCCACACAGUAAACGAUGAAUACUCGCUGUUUGCGAUAUACAGUAAGCGGCCAAGCGAAAGCAUUAAGUAUUCCACCUGGGGAGUACGCCGGCAACGGUGAAACUCAAAGGAAUUGACGGGGGCCCGCACAAGCGGAGGAACAUGUGGUUUAAUUCGAUGAUACGCGAGGAACCUUACCCGGGCUUAAAUUGCAUUUGAAUAUAUUGGAAACAGUAUAGCCGUAAGGCAAAUGUGAAGGUGCUGCAUGGUUGUCGUCAGCUCGUGCCGUGAGGUGUCGGCUUAAGUGCCAUAACGAGCGCAACCCUUAUCUUUAGUUACUAACAGGUCAUGCUGAGGACUCUAGAGAGACUGCCGUCGUAAGAUGUGAGGAAGGUGGGGAUGACGUCAAAUCAGCACGGCCCUUACGUCCGGGGCUACACACGUGUUACAAUGGGGGGUACAGAAGGCAGCUACCUGGUGACAGGAUGCUAAUCCCAAAAGCCUCUCUCAGUUCGGAUCGAAGUCUGCAACCCGACUUCGUGAAGCUGGAUUCGCUAGUAAUCGCGCAUCAGCCAUGGCGCGGUGAAUACGUUCCCGGGCCUUGUACACACCGCCCGUCAAGCCAUGAAAGCCGGGGGUACCUGAAGUACGUAACCGCAAGGAGCGUCCUAGGGUAAAACUGGUAAUUGGGGCUAAGUCGUAACAAGGUAGCCGUACCGGAAGGUGCGGCUGGAACACCUCCUUU